rnacentral:rRNA from 1 species
UACAGGGGGGGCAAGCGUUGUUCGGAAUUACUGGGCGUAAAGGGUUCGUAGGUGGCUUACUAAGUCAAACGUGAAAUCCCUCAGCUUAACUGGGGAACUGCGUCUGAUACUGGAAAGCUUGAGUGCAGGAGAGGAACGCGGAAUUCCAGGUGUAGCGGUGAAAUGCGUAGAUAUCUGGAGGAACACCGGUGGCGAAGGCGGCGUUCUGGACUGCAACUGACACUGAUGAACGAAAGCCGGGGGAGCAAACGGG